rnacentral:rRNA from 1 species
CCCGCUCAGAAACUUAAAGGAAUUGACGGGGGCCCGCACAAGCGGUGGAGCAUGUGGUUUAAUUCGAUGAUACGCGAGGAACCUUACCUGGGCUCAAAUGUAUGUUGACGUAUUCUGAAAGGGAUACUUCUUCGGACAAUAUACAAGGUGCUGCAUGGUUGUCGUCAGCUCGUGCCGUGAGGUGUCGGGUUAAGUCCCAUAACGAGCGCAACCCCUAUCAUUAGUUGCCAUCAGGUCAAGCUGGGGACUCUAAUGAAACUGCCUACGCAAGUAGUGAGGAAGGUGGGGAUGACGUCAAAUCAGCACGGCCCUUACGUCCAGGGCUACACACGUGCUACAAUGGCCGGUACAAAGGGCAGCUACCUGGUGACAGGAUGCUAAUCUCAAAAGCCGGUCUCAGUUCGGAUCGGAGUCUGCAACCCGACUCCGUGAAGCUGGAAUCGCUAGUAAUUCGAGAUCAGCAUGCUCGGGUGAAUGCGUUCCCGGGCCUU